CACUUAGAUGUCCUGGGCUGCACGCGCGCUACACUGAUGUGUCCAGUAAGCACCUAACCUAUUCCGAGAGGAGCGGGUAACCUUAGCAAAGCACAUCGUGAUGGGGAUAGAUUAUUGCAAUUAUUAGUCUUGAACGAGGAAUUCCUAGUAAGCACAAGUCAUCAGCUUGUGUUGAUUACGUCCCUGCCCUUUGUACACACCGCCCGUCGCUCCUACCGAUUGAAUGUUCCGGUGAGCUCUUCGGACUGCGCGGUCUGCAGUUUCUGCGUUCCGUGCGGAAAGUUGUGCAAACCUUAACAUUUAGAGGAAGGAGAAGUCGUAACA
rnacentral:rRNA from 1 species